rnacentral:piRNA from 1 species
UCCCAAAUGGUGUCCCAAAACUAUAUAAAUGU